rnacentral:lncRNA from 1 species
AGGUGAGGUCCGACUCCCAUAGGAGUCCGGGCGAAGUCUUCCUGUAGCUGGAGCUGGAGACAAGAUCUGGCUCCCGUAGGAGUUCGAUCGAAGUCUACCUGCAAUUAAAGUCAGGGGCGAAGUCCGGCUCCCUUAGGAGUCCAGACAAAGCUUACCAGCAGUCGAGGUUGAGGAUGAAGCCCAGUUCCCAUGGGAGUCUGGGCGAAG